CUUGAUCGACCCCAGCCACAGCGGCUCGGAGCGAUCCUGGCCAUAGGUGGCCAGCAACGCCUGGGCCUC
rfam:Kutzneria sp. 744 genomic scaffold supercont1.1, whole genome shotgun sequence.